GGGCACGUAGCUCAGCGGUAGAGCAUUCGCUUCACACGCGAAGGGUCACAGGUUCGAUCCCUGUCGUGCCCA
rnacentral:tRNA from 1 species